AUUGAACGCUGGAGGCAGGCCUAACACAUGCAAGUCGAGCGGAUGAAGGGAGCUUGCUCCUGGAUUCAGCGGCGGACGGGUGAGUAAUGCCUAGGAAUCUGCCUGGUAGUGGGGGAUAACGUCCGGAAACGGGCGCUAAUACCGCAUACGUCCUGAGGGAGAAAAUGGGGGAUCUUCGGACCUCACGCUAUCAGAUGAGCCUAGGUCGGAUUAGCUAGUUGGUGGGGUAAAGGCCUACCAAGGCGACGAUCCGUAACUGGUCUGAGAGGAUGAUCAGUCACACUGGAACUGAGACACGGUCCAGACUCCUACGGGAGGCAGCAGUGGGGAAUAUUGGACAAUGGGCGAAAGCCUGAUCCAGCCAUGCCGCGUGUGUGAAGAAGGUCUUCGGAUUGUAAAGCACUUUAAGUUGGGAGGAAGGGCAGUAAGUUAAUACCUUGCUGUUUUGACGUUACCAACAGAAUAAGCACCGGCUAACUUCGUG
rnacentral:rRNA from 1 species